rnacentral:rRNA from 1 species
CUGAUAAUUAUAUUUUAAGGGCCGCAGUAUUCUGACUGUGCAAAGGUAGCAUAAUCAUUAGGUUUUUAAUUGGAAUCUUGUAUGAAUGAUUGGACAAAAGAGAAGUACUGUCUUUGUAUUGAAACUUGAAUUUAACUUUUAAGUGAAAAGGCUUAAAUAUACUAAAGGGACGAUAAGACCCUAUAAAACUUUACAUUAAUAUUAAAUUUUAUUAAAUUUAAAAUUAUAAUUAUUAAGUUUAAUUUUUUGUUAUGUUGGGGGGACAAAAGCUAUUAUUAUGUUUAACCGGCUUUAAAAGAAACAAAAAUAAAUGGGGAGAGUUAAUGAUCCUUUAUUGAGAUUGUAAGAUUAAGUUACUUUAGGGAUAACAGCGUUAUUUUUUUUGAGAGUUCAUAUGGAAAAAAAAGAUGGCGACCUCGAUGUUGAAUUAAAAUAUCUUUAUAAUGAAGGGGUAAUAAAAGAAGGCCUGUUCGACCUUUAAUUUUUUACAUGAUCUGAGUUCAAACCCCGC